rnacentral:lncRNA from 1 species
GGGAAACAAAGGGCGUGAAGCAAAGCCUAUGGGAGAGGACUGGGCCUCCUGUUAGCCUUCUGGCAUUAGUCAAAAGUGAGUUUCUAGUAGCUUAGGGAGAAGGCAUAGCGUAUGACGUGUGCUAAAUGUAAUGAAUUGUCCUUUCUUCCUUUUUUUCUGCAUGUCUCAUUUUUCUCUCUUCAGACCUGCGACCAGGAGCUCGGAACAGGUACAAAGAAAGAACGAUGUCUUCAGGAGAAAAGCCUACUUCUGUGUGCACUUCUUCUCAGUACUCUCCUUGGUUUUGCAUUACUCAUCACCUACAUCACGAUGACUUGUGCUCUAGGAUCAUGUGAUGUUGAACCGAGCCUUGCACUCUUGGCCAGACUCCUGAAUUCUAGGAAUGACACUGUAGAUCCCUGUGAGGAUUUCUACAAAUACGCUUGUGGCAGCUGGGAAGGCAAACACUCAAGCACUGAAGUAUCAGGAAACAUCUUUGAUGCGCUGUUGGAAGAAAACCAGCUGAUAUUGAAAAGGCUUUUAGGGCCAGGGUGCUGGCGCUGGCUGCUGGCUGCUAGUAACAACUAACUCAAGUGAACCAAGCUGAAGGUGUGUUCAGCACAUCAAGGCCAGUACAAAUGCAAAUAUACACAGCAUCACAGAAUGGCUUCAGAUGGAAGGAACCUCAAAGCCCACCCAGUUCCAGCCCCACUGCCACAGGCAGGUCUGCCACCGACCAGCUCAGGCUGCCCAGGGCCCCGUCCAACUGGGCCUUGAACACCUCCAGGGACGGGGCAUCCACCACCUCUCUGGGCAGCCUGUUCCAGCAACUCAUCACUCUCUUGGUAAAGGACUUCCACCUGAUAUUCAACCUAAUUCUUCCCUCCUUCCACUUUAAAACUGUUUCCUCUUGGUCUGCCAUUAUCUUCCCUUGUAAAGAGUUGACUCCCCUCCUGUUUGUAGGCUCCUUUGAGGCACUGGACCACCU